rnacentral:lncRNA from 1 species
AUGUGUUGGACCAAGGAGGCCCUGAAACUGUCCUGUGGUUGUCAUGGCAACCACACAUUCCUGAGCUGGACCCCUGCAGGCAUCUCCAGGAAACGCUUCCAUAAUUGCCUCAGCCCUUCCCCAGAUAAAAGCAGGAAAGUGAAACCAAAGCACCCCUUGGUUCCUGGCUCCAUAAUGGCUGCUGCUCCUACACUGAAGCCCAAAGGCUGGUCGAAGAUAGCCAUCUGUGCCCAUUGCCAACAACCCUUCAAAGCACCCACAGGCCCCAAGGCCCCUGAAUACUGCUGCCCUUGCUUCUCUCAGUUGAAGAAGAAAAAAACGACUGCCAACCAACGUCCCUCGAAGGAUGAGAACAAGGCAAAGAAAAAGGAGGACAGAAAGGAAGAGAGAAGAACUGAAGGGGAGGAAGUCCAGGGGCUGUGUGAGGAGCAUGGGGAAACACUGAUUUGGUUCUGCAACCAGGAGGCAGCUCCCAACUGUAAGUUUUGCAAGGCAUCUGAGCUCCAUACAUGUCACACAGUGAUACCCAUUGAAGGUGCUGUCCAGGAGUACAAGGAGAAAUUGCAGCACACAGCAAAUUUGCUUGAGCAACAACUGAAAGAGUCUGAAAAGCUGAUAUACCAAGAAGGGAGGAAAAAAGCAGCAUGGAAGGCAAGUGCCAAGUUUGCAAAUCUCCAGGAGUUGCUCCUGCCCGGGACGGUCCAGGGCCCUGAUUCGGGCCACGUUUUAAUCAGGGCAGCGGGGGGCGGGGUUGAAGCUGGGAUUGGGGAGACAGUGGCUGUUUUUAAUAUUGGUCACGUUAAAAUCUUGAAUGUGCUAUUUAAGAAUCAUGGCUGCGAAUGUGCUAUUUAAGAAUCAUGGCUGCGUUAGAGGUAUUCCUGUAGUAUUCCUGCAGCAUAAUUCCCCCCUAAUCACCUAGAGAUGGAAAUAAAACAGAAGUGCCCCUAGGCA